GAUGAACGCUGGCGGCGUGCCUAAUACAUGCAAGUCGAGCGAACAGACGAGGAGCUUGCUCCUCUGACGUUAGCGGCGGACGGGUGAGUAACACGUGGAUAACCUACCUAUAAGACUGGGAUAACUUCGGGAAACCGAGGCUAUAACCGGAUAAUAUAUUAAACGGCAUGUUUCAUUAGUGAAGGACGGUUUGGCUUUCACUUUUGGUUGAUUCGCCGCCGCAUUAGCUAGUUGGUAAGGUAACGGCUUACCAAGGCAACGAUGCGUAGCCGACCUGAGAGGGUGAUCGGCCACACUGGAACUGAGACACGGUCCAGACUCCUACGGGAGGCAGCAGUAGGGAAUCUUCCGCAAUGGGCGAAAGCCUGACGGAGCAACGCCGCGUGAGUGAUGAAGGUCUUCGGAUCGUAAAACUCUGUUAUUAGGGAAGAACAAAUGUGUAAGUAACUAUGCACGUCUUGACGGUACCUAAUCAGAAAGCCACGGCUAACUACGUG
rnacentral:rRNA from 1 species